rnacentral:lncRNA from 1 species
AGAAAUAGUCUCCAUAAUCUAAUCUCCAGAAUGCACUAAACCAGGAGAAGAUCCACCUGGAUAAUUUCGUUGUCAAAGGAAUGGAAGAAUAUUAAGGAGAACAAGUCCUCAUCUCUCCAAAGACCCUUCAUCCUUCAUUUCACAAUAGUCUUUAUUGGAGAAAAAGGUAGAGCAAGCCUUCCUUAAAGGGAUAUCCAGGCACUGAAAUGGAAGAGAACAAGUAGCAUCAGUCAGUAUUCCAUGAAGAAAAUAGCAAGCACUCUAGGUAUUCAAGAAGACGGAAUAUAAUGAAAGGUUUGCAUAGUCACUGGACUGACUGGAGGGGCACCAUGUGCACUGGUGUUCCACAAAUGACUCUCAGGGUACUGAACAGAUUCUCUAGGGUGACUGUGACCUUUAGGCCAUGGAAAUGCUGCAUUCAGGAACUCAUCCCAAUGGCUGCGAUUCAGGAAUCGGGAUGCCAGGCUCUUGAAGCUACCCCAGCAAUGGCCCCUCAGACCCUCAAAGCCAGCAAAUAGGUCUUGGUGAUUCCUGCUGCUGCUUCCUCUGAGCACUCUCUCCGAGAAGGUUGAGCACCAGAAUGAUGCUGCAGACAAACUUCAAGAUACAUUGAAGGGGGUGAUAAUUGAUACACACAGACCAGGUUGGAGGCUUUUGCAGUGGUCCAUAGGACAGAUGAUGGCAUCUUAGUGUUGGUGAUAGAGAUAUAAAUAAGACACAGGUUCUCAUCUCUAAUGAGAUUUUGGAGGCAAAAACUAUAGGAUUAUUUGGGUAGUAAAAAUCAAGAACUGCUGCCCUUGCAAAUGGCCACUGUGACUCAGAACUGACAACUGAGGUAUCUUCUGCACCUAAGAACUCCAAACAAGAACCUGGAAACUUGAGGCCAGUGUGUCUUCCUUCCACAUCUGGCAAGCUGGAGAAAAUGUGAGGGCAGCUUUAUCAAACUCUUAAAUGAAAACAAUCCAUUAAAGUCAAGAUACAUAGA